rnacentral:rRNA from 1 species
UACGUAGGGUGCAAGCGUUAAUCGGAAUUACUGGGCGUAAAGCGUGCGUAGGCGGUUGCGCAAGACAGGUGUGAAAUCCCAGGGCUUAACCUUGGAAUUGCACUUGUGACUGUGCGGCUGGAGUGCGGCAGAGGGGGAUGGAAUUCCGCGUGUAGCAGUGAAAUGCGUAGAUAUGCGGAGGAACACCGAUGGCGAAGGCAGUCCCCUGGGCCUGCACUGACGCUCAUGCACGAAAGCGUGGGGAGCAAACAGG